UACGAAGGGGGCUAGCGUUGCUCGGAAUCACUGGGCGUAAAGGGUGCGUAGGCGGGUCUUUUAAGUCAGGGGUGAAAUCCUGGAGCUCAACUCCAGAACUGCCUUUGAUACUGAGGAUCUUGAGUUCGGGAGAGGUGAGUGGAACUGCGAGUGUAGAGGUGAAAAUUCGUAGAUAUUCGCAAGAACACCAGUGGCGAAGGCGGCUCACUGGCCCGAUACUGACGCUGAGGCACGAAAGCUAGGGGAGCAAACAGGAGU
rnacentral:rRNA from 1 species